CAAAAAGUUUAACUUUUUCAGGAAAUAGCUUUUUUUAAUAAAAACCGUACCCUAAACCGACACAGGUGGAUAGGUCGAGUAGACUAAGGUGGAUGAGAGAACUAUAUUGAAGGAACUCGGCAAAAUGACUCUGUAACUUCGGGAUAAAGAGUACCUAAAUAUUUAAAAUAUUUAGGUGUCACAAAAUAGGGGGUUGCGACUGUUUAAUAAAAACUUAGGACUCUGCUAAAUGGUAACAUGAUGUAUAGGGUCUGACACCUGCCCGGUGCUGGAAGAUUAAUAGGAGAUGUUUAAGCAUUGAAUGGAAGUCCCAGUAAACGGCGGCCGUAACUCUGACGGUCCNNNNNNNNNNAGUUCCUUGUCGGGUAAGUUCCGACCUGCAUGAAAGGCGUAAUGACUGGAGCACUGUCUCAACCACCAACCCGGUGAAAUUGUAGUCGUGGUGAAGAUGCCACGUUCCCGCAGCUAGACGGAAAGACCCCGUGAACCUUCACUGCAGGCUGAUAUUGGGCCUGAGUAUGUGCUGUGUAGGAUAGGUGGGAGGCUUUGAACCUUGGGCGCCAGCUCAGGGGGAGCCAUUGGUGAAAUACCACCCUUUUAAUGCAUAAGUUCUAACGCUGAUUCCUGUGAAUCCAGGCAGCGGACAGUGUCAGUUGGGCAGUUUGACUGGGGCGGUCUCCUCCUAAAGAGUAACGGAGGAGCCCAAUAGGCGACCUCAGCCUGGUUGGCAAUCAGGCAUCGAGCGUAAAGGUAGAAGGUUGCUAAACUGCGAGACCCAUGAGUCGAGCAGAUGUGAAAGCAGGGCUUAGUGAUCCGGUAGUCCCGUAUGGAAGGGCUAUCGCUCAACAGAUAAAAGGUACUCCGGGGAUAACAGGCUUAUCGCUCCCGAGCGUCCAUAGCGGCGGAGCGGUUUGGCACCUCGAUGUCGGCUCAUCGCAUCCUGGGGGUGAAGAAGCUCCCAAGGGUUUGGCUGUUCGCCAAUGAAAGCGGUACGUGAGCUGGGUUCAGACCGUCGUGAGACAGGUCGGUCCCUAUCUGCUGUGGGCGCACGAAACUUGCGGAGGUUCUUCUUUAGUACGAGAGGAUUUAGAAGGACGUCCCUCUGGUGUUCCUGUUGUCGCGCUAGCGGCACGGCAGGAUAGCUAAGGACGGAACGGAUAAACGCUGA
rnacentral:rRNA from 1 species